CAGUAGCCGCGGUAAUACGGAGGGUGCAAGCGUUACUCGGAAUUACUGGGCGUAAAGCGUGCGUAGGUGGUGGUUUAAGUCCGUUGUGAAAGCCCUGGGCUCAACCUGGGAAUUGCAGUGGAUACUGGGUCACUAGAGUGUGGUAGAGGAUAGUGGAAUUUCCGGUGUAGCGGUGAAAUGCGUAGAGAUCGGGAGGAACAUCAGUGGCGAAGGCGGCCAUCUGGGACAACACUGACGCUGAGGCACGAAAGCGUGGGGAGCAAACAGGAUUAGAUACCCCCGUAGUCCCUGUCUCUUAUAC
rnacentral:rRNA from 1 species